AAUUUGAGCCUUAAUUUGCUUUCAUGAUAUUUGUAGUUGUACAGUAGUAGUAACUGGUGAGCGAAAGGAUGAAAAAGCCAUGGCCCUGGGAUCGGAUAUGUUUCCAAAAGAAAGCAAAUAGAACCUGAAGAAUGAAAUACAGUAGUGGCAGGUGAUUUAGGGUGUCCCUUCCUUCUGUUCCGAGUUGCUCAUGCAACUAAAGAUUAAGAGCACGGAAGAGGACACUUCAUUUUGUUGUCUCGUGUACUCCAGUAACUCCAAUAACUAGAGAUGCAAGUGAUAACUAGUACCAGCAAGUUGGCUAGCUAAUUCAUUCAUUCUAUUUUAAUGAGAUUUGGAUCGACCCAAUGGUUAAGGUAGUAAUACAAAUAGAACAUAUGCUUGCGACAAUACAGUUAUGAUGGAUUAAGACGAGUUUAUUGAAAACAAGAGUCGCGGAUUUGCAAGUAUGUCAUCUAGACUUCCUCUGUACUUUAUACUUCCUACUUGUACUUUCUCUAUACUCCCUCCACACCAAAAUACUAUUCGUUUUAAUUUUUCUAAAUUGCUAUAUAUUUAGUUAAAACAAAUAGCAAUUUGGAACAGAUGGAGUAAACAAGUAUAUGUCGUUAUGAGUUUA
rnacentral:lncRNA from 1 species